UACGGAGGAUCCGAGCGUUAUCCGGAUUUAUUGGGUUUAAAGGGUGCUCAGGCGGGACAUUAAGUCGGCGGUGAAAUUUUGCGGCUCAACCGUAAAAGUGCCUUCGAAACUGGUAUCCUUGAGUGUAGAUGAAGUAGGCGGAAUUUGUGGUGUAGCGGUGAAAUGCAUAGAUAUCACGAGGAACUCCGAUUGCGCAGGCAGCUUACUAAACUACUACUGACGCUCAGGCACGAAGGCGUGGAGAUCAAACAGGAUUAGAUACCCCGGUAGUCCCU
rnacentral:rRNA from 1 species